CAAAAGAUCUAAAUUUUACGUAAUGGAUCCCGUCCCGAUCGUCCCCUCACACGUGGCACUGCCGCGUAAACAAUGCCACAUCGUAGAGAAAGCAUAAGGGGGAGGCCAUCGGGAGAUUAUCCCGAGAAUUCAAACUAUUCUUGUAAUGUCGUACGAGCCUCGUUCCGUUCGCUCUUUCAUGCGCAGCAUUACCGGUGUAAAUGUAAUAAUGCCGCACAGUGAACAAGCAAAAGGGGAAGAGAGUCUCCGGAUAGCCGUUACAAUCCAGUAACGACUUAACGCAGAUUACUCCUGCAUAAGCGUCUCUGCGAUGAGGGGAGAAGAAACAUGGGGCAUAGACGAUGUGCUGCUGAGAGUCACAAUGCGGAUCAUCAGGGUCUCCCGUCACCUGGAAACCACCAGACCGUAGACUGAGUAUCCGAGGGAAACUGAAUAUAAAUCUGGCCCGAAUACAAGGAAUCCUGUUCGGGAUCCUCGGUGUUCAUUGGCCCUCUGCAGCUCUUCACAUGCUUCAUGGAGUUUGUCUACAUAGUCCGUCUGCUUCCUGCGUCUUCUCCGAGCGGCGUCACGAUUCCUUUUUCUCCUCCUUUCCAGCUUCUGUUUCUCCUCCUCAGAUAGGCCGUCAGGGAAGGGGUGUUUGGAGGGGCUGUUGGGGAUGUCGUGACUUUUCCUUUUUUUCCGUCUCGAAGUCGACCCGAGAGAAAGAUCGAGGGGGGACGGAUCGUCAGCGGGACUGUAGGGCAUAGCGCCCGGCUCUGGCUCCUGAGACAUCUCUUUACACCUGUACCGUGCCCGCCUUCUCCCUGGUAUACACCUGCAAGAGACGCCUGCCUAGGAAUCAGUGUGCGGAAUUUAUUCUUAACAUUCCAGCACCAACCUCCCCGAACCAAAAUAAUAAUUAAAAAAGCAACACCCACAGACCCGAAAGUAUUGAAGAAUUACACGUUCGCGAACGGUCACAAUUCACCUGUCAUUUUAUAAAGGAGCAAUAGUUUAUUUAAGAGGAUGAGGCUGAAAAAUAUACAUACAUUCAAAAUAAUUAGAAAAACAAAGACAAUGAACGUCCCCGCUACACGUCCGCGUUCGUCUCGGCGACCGCCGUACUUCCGCAAUCGUUUACAGAAGCGUCAUAUCCGUUCUAUUUCCGCAAACAAAGACUUUGAGACAGGAUUUCCGUGUUGUCGUGUCCGGUCAUACAUUCUAUGUAAACAAGGAAGUUAUCCCCUUUGCUUCCGUAUUAUCGAUAAUCGGCUCCGAUCCCGAUUCCGCGGACCAAGCAUUGGCUGCAAACUAUAUCGGAAUGCGCCAGACCUUCUUUGCGCGUCUCCAGACACUUCUGCGAUCGCAGACGAAGAAGCCUGACGUAGGCGGACGGCAAACUUUCGCCAUGUGUACUGCUUGUAUGCUACAACGGCCAAUCGUGUUCCACAUGCAUGCGACUGCAUGUUUAGGUCUCACCCCUCUCGAACCCUACAACAUCUCCGCUCCAUGUGAUCCGAAGGGAGAUCGAAGAUCGUAGACUCUCUACAUACACCGGCCUCAAUAUACCACGACCGACAGAGAAAGUUGGGGAAGGUUGUCGCAGUAUCCGUUUCGAGAUGGAAAGUGGGUCCGCAGUCAAUGCAUCCGGGGUCUGCAACGAUAUCACAGCUGUAAUCAACACGGAUGUAUUUAUCAUGUACAAAGACGGAAGCGCGGGGACGUUGAUGGAGGAGUUGCAAACCUGACGUCACAAAACAGCUACGCAGCAAAAGCAGGUAAAGUAUAACCAUAAUCGUGCAACAACGCCCAAAUAGUUUAAAUGGUGCAAUUCGUCAAUAAAUGAAAGUUUCAUGUCGUGUAU
rnacentral:lncRNA from 1 species